rnacentral:rRNA from 1 species
CCUACGGGAGGCUGCCGUGGGGAAUAUUGGGCAAUGGGCGCAAGCCUGACCCAGCAACGCCGCGCGACGGAAGAAGGCUUUCGGGUUGUAAACUUCUUUUCUCAGUGACGAAGCAAUUGACGAUACCUGAGGAAUAAGCCACGGCUAACUACGUGCCAGCAGCCGCGGUACUCCGUAGGUGGCAAGCGUUAUCCGGAUUUACUGGGUGUAAAGGGCGUGUAGGCGGGACUGCAAGUCAGAUGUGAAAACCACGGGCUCAACCUGUGGCCUGCAUUUGAAACUGUAGUUCGUGAGUACUGGAGAGGCAGACGGAAGUCCUAGUGUAGCGGUGAAAUGCGUAGAGAUUAGGAGGAACACCAGUGGCGAAGGCGGUCUGCUGGACAGCAACUGACGCUGAGGCGCGAAAGCGUGGGGAGCAAACAGGAUUAGAUACCCGGGUAGUC